GCAUCUUGAUUUGAUUUUGAACGAGUGGCGGACGGGUGAGUAACACGUGGGUAACCUGCCCUUAAGUGGGGGAUAACAUUUGGAAACAGAUGCUAAUACCGCAUAAAUCCAAGAACCGCAUGGUUCUUGGCUGAAAGAUGGCGUAAGCUAUCGCUUUUGGAUGGACCCGCGGCGUAUUAGCUAGUUGGUGAGGUAACGGCUCACCAAGGCAAUGAUACGUAGCCGAACUGAGAGGUUGAUCGGCCACAUUGGGACUGAGACACGGCCCAAACUCCUACGGGAGGCAGCAGUAGGGAAUCUUCCACAAUGGACGCAAGUCUGAUGGAGCAACGCCGCGUGAGUGAAGAAGGCUUUCGGGUCGUAAAACUCUGUUGUUGGAGAAGAAUGGUCGGCAGAGUAACUGUUGUCGGCGUGACGGUAUCCAACCAGAAAGCCACGGCUAACUACGUGCCAGCAGCCGCGGUAAUACGUAGGUGGCAAGCGUUAUCCGGAUUUAUUGGGCGUAAAGCGAGCGCAGGCGGUUUUUUAAGUCUGAUGUGAAAGCCCUCGGCUUAACCGAGGAAGUGCAUCGGAAACUGGGAAACUUGAGUGCAGAAGAGGACAGUGGAACUCCAUGUGUAGCGGUGAAAUGCGUAGAUAUAUGGAAGAACACCAGUGGCGAAAGCGGCUGUCUGGUCUGUAACUGACGCUGAGGCUCGAAAGCAUGGGGUAGCGAACAGGAUUAGAUACCCUGGUAGUCCAUGCCGUAAACGAUGAAUGCUAGGUGUUGGAGGGUUUCCGCCCUUCAGUGCCGCAGCUAACGCAUUAAGCAUUCCGCCUGGGGA
rnacentral:rRNA from 1 species